CCCUAUGGGGCGCACCAGGGCGUUUCUUGCCAACCUGGAUCCGUCCGAUGAAGAUUGGGUGUGACUGGUGAAAUUCGAAUUUGCCACUUCUCAAAGGAUCCUAUUCGGACCUGGAAUCGUAAAGGAACUUGGAAAACUUGCCGGGUCCUUAGGUAGGCGUGCCUUAUUGGUAUGCGGUUCAGGCAACGCUCCUUUCCAAUCAGCCCUGGAAAGCCUAAAUCAAGCCGGCUUGGCUGUCAGUCAGUAUCCUGUGGUCAGCGAACCUGAUCUGGCUGCGGUUCAAAAUGGACUGAACUUUGCCCGAUCAGAGGCUUGUGAUGUGAUCGUUGGCAUUGGCGGGGGGGC
rnacentral:rRNA from 1 species